AACAAAAAACUAACCCUAAUCGAUCCAACACCGAAUUUUCAUAGUUCUUUCGCGUCGAACUAGAUUCUGCGUUGGCAUUUACCAAGAGAAGUGAAACACUGAAAGAUGUAACAAACCCAUCACACGAUUAUGAUUUCUGUAUUACUCGUUUUGUUAUUGCGUAAAUCUGUCAAAUUUAAUAACGAUUUAAAACCAUUUGUGCACUAUUAAAUAAUAGGGCAAUUCACAAUCUGGUGCAAGACCAUUUGCCCUAAUAAAUAAAUGUGUGAAAACUGUUUCGUGAUGUGUUCGUGGCUAUAAAAAUAUGAGUGCAAAAUUUAUGCUGCAUAGAAAAAUUUGCACGCUUUAAUUUGUAAAUUUUUGGACUUUAAAUGCGAAUAUCUUAAUCAUCCUCUAUUCGCCCAUUCCAAUUUUAUCCGUGAAUUUGGGGAUGUUAUACAAAAGCCUAGCCCAUAUAUAUUUUGGAAAUAAAUUAUAGAUCUUUUAAAAUGUUUAUAAAGAUUAUUAGCGGAUGAAUUUUAGAAUACCAUCCCCCGGAUUUGAGAUAAAAACGGGUAUGGGCUGGUAAAAGAGGUUCUCCAUAUUAAGAUUAUGAAUACAUAUAGAAGACGUUUUGAGUUAUUUGUAUAUAAAAUUUAUAAAUUUAACAAUUUUAAAUGUGUAUUUGUUUGUAUAAUAUUUAAUUUUACACUUCUAUAAUGCACUUUUCAUACGAUAACAACAAACUGAUUUAAUUCAAUAUUUAUCGUUUUAAUAUCUUGUAUUUAUUCACAUAAUAACGACAAUGUAAAUACUUUGCUAAAGAACCAAAAGAAAUAAAGAAGAUAAAAUAUAGAAUAAACUCCAAUUUCAGGAAAAUAGUAUUUUCAUUUUAAGUUUCCGUGUAUAACUCCUCCAGUAGCUUUUUCGCAGUAGAAAAACUCGCACGUGGCCUGAGUCAGUAAAAUGCAGUUUGAACGCUACUCGCUUGAUGAUAAAUUGUACACCUAUAGCACGUAGCCAGCAGCGAAUAUCCUCUGUUUCGGCUCCAGCAUCAUAAGUGCUUUUAUAUUCAAGUUGUUAGUUUUAUAGAGGUGCUGUCGAAUAUCAUAUUAUUUAUAAUUUAUAAUAUUUCAUACAAUACAGAAAUAUUGUAUAACACAAACUAAUAAUUGACGCCCAACGCGAGAACGCGCAACAGACCAUCCUAAUCUAGAAAGAAAAUCGUAAGAAAAAAGCAGUAGCAGCAACAGCAGCAGAGGAAGUAGAUACGUAGAAUUACAGAUAUAAAAACACACCCUAUAUUUACACACAAAGGAUUAUGUGACGAUAUUUUACAUUAUGGAAACUGGGUAACAGCAGAACAAGGUAUCGCGAACUGUCUGAUCGCUUUGAUGUGGGCAAAGGAACAUCUCAUAAAUUAAUUUUCAAAACUAUAAAAACAAUAUGCUGUCUUAAAGGCGAAAUUUCGUGGCCCACGGUUACUGAGCAACAGCAAAUAAUGGAAAGCUUCCAGACAAUAAGAGCGAACUCCUUUCCUUUCGUUAUUGGGUGUAUGGAUGGAAUUCACUUUAAAAUAAAUACACCAAAACAUGAUGCAAUUAGCUACUACGACCGUAAGGGAGUACAUUCUAUGAUCAUGCAGGCUAUAUGCGACAGUAAGCUUCGGUUUUUGGAUGUAUUUAUUGGCUUUCCUGGAAGUUGCCACCAUGCUAACGUUUGGAAAAGCUGCCCAAUUUUUAAAGGAAUCACAUUCGGCGAGGUUCCAAUAGCUAGUGGUGGCAUAAUUUUAGCUGACGCAGCGUAUCCCCUUUCUAAAUAUUUGAUAGUCCCAUUUAGGGACAAUGAGCGCCUUACUACUGAUAAUAGGAAAUUUAAUUACUACCUUAGCUCUACCCGAGUGCUUAUAGAACAAGCAUUUGGUGUUUUAGGACAAAAAUUCAAAAUACUUAAUCAUAUUGAUGUAAUUUCUUUAAAGAGUGUCUCUCAAGUGGUGUUGUCUUGUGCUAUUUUGCAUAAUUUUAUAAUAAACUAGCUGUUACCCUGUGCGUUUCGCUACACCUAAAUCGAAUAAAACUCUUAAGGGUU